UACGAAGGGUGCAAGCGUUACUCGGAAUUACUGGGCGUAAAGCGUGCGUAGGUGGUUCGUUAAGUCUGAUGUGAAAGCCCUGGGCUCAACCUGGGAAUUGCAUUGGAUACUGGCGGGCUAGAGUACGGUAGAGGGUGGCGGAAUUCCUGGUGUAGCAGUGAAAUGCGUAGAUAUCAGGAGGAACACCCGUGGCGAAGGCGGCCACCUGGACCAGUACUGACACUGAGGCACGAAAGCGUGGGGAGCAAACAGG
rnacentral:rRNA from 1 species